CCUCUAAAAAAUCCAAGCCCUCCAUGCAUUAGGAGUAGUAAAUCCAGUUUAGUUUGUUCCUCUUCCCUGUUCUGAUCACUUUAACCACUUUCAGCACAGAAGGAAAGAAACUUUCACAAUUCAGUUUGCAGAUCACUCUAGGGUGCUUAUUUUUAGGUAAUAGUUCUUUUGCAAUCCUGAAGCGUUACUCAAGUUCACUAAGCUGAUUUUACACUAUUAUUCGUUCCAGUGGUCUGAGAAGGUUGUGAGGUCUGGUGAUUUCAGCAAGUCUUAGAAGCAGAAGGACAAAGUUCGAACAAAGGAAAGGGGUUGAUUCACUGAAAAAAAGCCAUGAGUAAACCAUCUUGUACUCCUCUGUCACAGUCAGCUCCUCUAAGUGCUGGAGAAACUGAUCCGAAGAUGCCUCGAAUCUAUGAAGCAUCUCAGUAAUUGUCACUUCUGCAACAUUUUUUCUGCAUUGUCUCAGACUUAAUUCUAGUGUUAUUAGUGCUCACAGGAAGUCUUAAAUAUGCAUUCUUUGUAUUUUGGAAUUAGAAAUGCAGAAAUGCACAAGAGCAUAUUAAUUUUUUUAGUAAUGAAAAUUUUGAUAUGUUAAACAUUAUACUCUUGCCUUUCUUCUAAUCUUCUAUUGAUUUAAUAUUUAAAUCUAUAAAAUCCUUAUGUAACACAUUAUUAUUUCACCUACCCCUUCACUGUCUGGGCUGAAAACAUACAUCACACUCUGCUUUGUGAUUUCAAUCUGAUUUACAGUUGAACUAUAUUCCUUGGUAGCUUGCAUGAGCACAGAUCCACCAACGACAUGCUAAGAAUGUGGCCCUCUGAGUUUUUUUAAGGUAUUUUGGAUAAAUAGGUGAAAUUAAGCAUUCAAAAAAAAAAAAAAAAAAAAAAAAAAAGCACCACCAUCAUCAACAACAAAAAAGGAAACAAGCAUACAAACAAAUAUCAACCAAACAAUCAAACAAAAAAGGCCACAACAUGGCCUUAAAAAACUGCUGUGGUUAAAGAAAACUUACUCAACACUAUGGGUCUAUCAAUACAAGAAGUUCCAAGCACAUUUGUACUUCAGUGUCCACGUGCCCCAUACUGGUAGCUCACCGUACUUCUAAUACACUUCUAAUAUUGCACAGCAGUGGUUGUAGCUCAGAGAACAUCACAGAGAAUCAGAGCUGUGUUCUGCAGUUCCAAAAAGCAUUCUUGCUUGAAAGGAAAUGCAUAGAGCUGAAAAGCGGUGCUGAGUUCAUUUGAUAUUUGUGUAAAUAAUUCUUCUUUUACAUGGAUUUUUCAGUUUGCUCUAUGAAUUUGGAGCUAAACAAAUAAGCUUCUCUCCUGCUCUUAAGGUCACUGUAGUCAUGUGGCCAUAAAGAAACCUAAGUACACAGACUGGACUUUUUAAUGGGACAUCAUGUCUCAUAAAAUUUGUGAUAUGUUUAAAUGUUAUCAGAAUGGAAAUAGACAUAAUGGAUGUUGUUCCAUUCAUUAUAAUUCCAUCCAAGUACCCAAAUUCCAUAUUUCUGCUUGUAUUUCUAUACCUGAACCACUGAUGUCUUUCACAGAAGAUGAAGAGUGAUAUUUAACACUAUUGUGUAAACUGUGGCCGUUUAGAGUGACACUUGAGAAUUUCAUCACUUUUUUUCUGACAAAACUACAUGUGCUUAUUUAUUAAGACUGUUAUUCAAAUGAUAUAGGACCAUGUCUGCACUAAAUUAAAAUGUUUAUUUACCUGAUUACCCAUCGGAGUCAUUCAUCAGCAUUAAGAUCUUCAUUUGUGGAAAACCAAAUUACACAAGAAAUUUCUUGUUUCAUAUAAAGAAGACAAAUGUUUGGAGCAUGUAGAAACUCUUUUUUAAUUGGUAAAAGAAAUUCUACUAGAGCUCUUUGUGUUACUGGCACAAUAUUUGCCAGAUUAAAUGCUACCUGAACAUUAUUAUUUAAAAAAAGAUUGCUAAAAUCAUAAAAGACAUCAAAAGCCAUACAAAGCUUUGAUUGUCAAGUUAAACCGUGAAAGAUAGUUUUGAAGAAUACAGAAGGAAGCACUGCUUUCUAUGCCAGGAUUAGGCCAUGUGAGUAUAACCUGAUUUUUUGGGGAAUUUGUCUAUGAGCUAAUUUAAAUAAUCCUAGUUCUUGUUAUUGCUGUCAAUAAAUGCUUCAAUGCAUAGCUAGCCAUCAGAAGACUAGUUUUCCAACAUACCUCCCCACCCUUUUGGAAAAAGUUACAGCACAAACAAAAAUAUCGUUAUCAAGAGGAUGAACUAAAGAGAAUACGUGCUGGAAAACCUGUUUAAGCUUAUCUCUGGGAAACUACACAGGAAAAAAAAUGGAAAAUCCCCAAACUAAAGAACAAAGAAGCUUUCUUUUGUAGCAGAGGUGUUCUUAUUGAAGGUGCAGUGUAAAAAAGAGAGGGAAAAACCUAUAGGAAAUAAAAGGACUCAGGAAACAAGUUUUAUGGGGGAAGGGGAACUUGGCGAUGUCUUAGAGAAUAACAAAGAAAAGCAGGAGAAUUGCUUGGUCCCAAACUCACAGCUACACUGAUUCUGACGCAUGUACAAGUAAGGAAUUAUCAGCAAAAAUAACCUGCACAGGUUUCUGUCCUCUUUGGUUGUAUCUCCACAAUAGAGUAAACAGAGUCAGAUCAUGUUCCCAGGCUUCAAAUCUCGCUCUUCUGCCAUUGUAAACUGCUAGGAUGUUCUGAACUGGAGGCUCCCCCAGCAUGACGCCACGCCAAGGAGCCAGUUUGGAUAGGAUCACCUUAAUCUUUUUAUUGUUAUAUCUGUGAGCCAUUCUAUCUGAAGAGCCUAAGAACAAUCCCAGAAAUUAUUAUUUUACUUGUAGACAAUAUCUUUGCCUCCACAGAUCUCUCCCCAGGCUCCCUUCUGUGUUCUAAUAAGGAGGUGUGUUUGGUUGACAGGAGAUGUCCAGAAGAAAAUUCCUUUCAAAAACAGACCGGCCUCUGCAUCAUUUUAAGUGGCAAUAUAAUAGUAAUGGCACGAGUAAUGGUAAUAGUAAUGGUAAUAGUAAUAUUAAUAGUAAUAAUGCAAAGUAAAUCAGAAGGAAGGUAUUUGCACUGAUUUCCUCUUUUGUUCUCUGUGAGGGAAGCCUUGCAAAUUUUUCAGUGAAAGAGAAAAUGCAAAAACUUUUCAUGCUAGUAUAGGUUGAUGCUGCUGAAAAGCAAAGGCAGUGUAUAGUCUCUGAGUGGCCAGUCUAUGAUAUUAACAGAUUGGAGACUGUCUUUUAAUACCUCAGUUUGCUCUGGUUCAUUACAAACAAGUGUUUUUUUUUGUCUAGACUGUCAAUGUCCAUGAACUCUGAAAAAUCCUGACAUGAAGGGUGUUAUUUUACUGGAUAGCUCUUUGAAAUCCAAGAUAGUGGCAUCAACAUUGUCAUAGAUACCACCAGAAAAUGGAGGCACACAAGCUCCAGGUAGCAGAGUAAAUGGCAGAGAUAAGGGAGUGGUCAGAAUGCCACAGUGGAAAGGAGAUUUACCAUUAUCCACAUAUAUAAUCCACAUAUAAUUACAUAUAUAUUUUUAAUAUUCUGAACUCCUUAUUUGUGCUACCUGGACAAAUUGAAAUCUCCAACCACUGUAUCUGUGGUAUGAACUUCUUUUCUUGUGUUGUACAACUUCCACAUCCCAUAGUACAUUGCAUCAAAAGGUGCCAAAGAGACCUACAAGGUUUUUCACCAACAAAAGUGCAAAUGGUAAAGACAUGCAGUGCAGCUACAGACACUUUGACCUAUGGUGCUCUUGCAACUCAAUUUUGUCAUCACAGAUGAUGAGUCAACAGAGGUAUGAGUGCCAAAUUCUGUAAAACAGAGGAAGCAUGAGUUGAAUUAAAUUCAAUUCCUUUAAUAUAAAUUAGCCAGAAAACAAUGUCAGGGAUCAUGUCUUAAAUUAUUAGUCUGAAUCACACCCCAAAACUGAUCACGGUCAUUUUUAAGAGGACAAAUGUUUUCUACCUUUGUGAAUACCCAUCCUGGCAGUAACAAGAUGCUUUUAAGUUAAUGUUGGUUUCUCACAACUCACAGUGUAUUAUCCAGAUGACUAAAUCACAAAUACAUGCUCAAAACUCCAAUUUAGAAUUGGCUUGGCUAUCUCUGCACACACUGUAUCUGUCAUGUUUAGCUACUGCUGGUAUUUUGCUAUCAAUAUAAAUGAAUCAUCCUCUGAAUCACUUCAGAUUUUCUCUCAAAGAUCUCUUAAGAGUCAUUAUAAUAUUGUUAUUCUGAAUGUCAGCUCUCAAUGAACUGAAAUGUCUGAAGUCAGUGCUAAGACUCAUCAUGACUUGAAUGGGCUCCAAAUGUCACAUGGUAAAUCGGCUUUCCGGUGCUCCUUUUUUUUAACUGCUUUUUCCUCUAUCACUUAAUCUCUUUACUUUUCCUGCCUUGAAUGUCAGAUUCAUAAAGCUUCAGGAUAUGGAAUUUCUCUGAUUAUUGAAUCUGCAAUACCUAAGUAAUGCCCAGCCUAGCACAGAUACUGACAAUAAGUCUGAGAGGUGAAGAUAGAAUCACACGCCUUUGAAAAAGGUGUUCUCUGAAACUACUUCCCUCCUCAGUAUGAACAAAUUUCAUAUCAUGUUUCAAAAUUAGAAUUGUUUCCUUUCUUUUACUGAAAUCUUAAAAUACAAAAGUUUACCAACUGGAAGAAACCAAGGUCCUGAUAGUCCAGCACUGCCACCUGAAUUUCAACCCGAUUUCUCAACAGCUCUGAUUCUCAAUUGAAUCUUAAUUCACCAAAUUUGACUCCUUACCACAUUUUUUUUCUUGAAGACUGUUUAUAGGAAAGGCACUUAGCACAGAAGAGCUGGAUGAAGUAUUUGACUAAAUAUAUUUUUAUUUAAAAAUAUGCAUUUUUCUAAUAUCUACAUAUUUCAAAGAAAUGUGUCAAUCUCAAAAAAAAAGUUCAAACUGAGCAAAAAGAAAACACCAAUAAGCCCACAAUAUACUGACAUGAUUAAUUAUUAUUACUGUUGUUGUUAUUUAAGUUUAGCAGGAAGUUAUGACUUCUUCCUUGUUGAGACUCAAACAUUAAUGUUUUUAAAACAUCAGAAUCUCCUUUAGAAUAAAAUGCUUAUUUUCAUCUAGUUCCACAUAACAAUACCUUGGUGAAACAAAGCAUCCAAGUGAAGCACCUUUUGUUUUAUGCAGUACAUACAAGAAAUUUUGCCUAGGGCAAUGAUCCAUGGCAUAAAUACCAAGAAGCCCAGAGAUACAAGACUGCAGAGAAGGAUGGUUAAUGUCUCCAGAAGGAUGAUGCCCAUACAGAUCAGGUUCAGAGGCUUGUCAGGCCCACAGAGAGAUGUGAAUGGCAACCUGCAGCUUCCAGGGGUGCUGCUCCUUGUGCAAGACCAGAGCAUCCUCAGGACUGAAGAUCCAUGCAGCUGGAUCUAGACCCCUUGGCUUUAAAUUUCUGUUUCUGCAGUCUUUGUGCAGCACAUGGUAAUCAGCAGAAGGACCAGGAACAGGAAAUGAGAACUCUCUACAUUUUUUCUAGAGUAAACUCUUCUUGUGGAAUGAUCAUUCUGAAGGCAAGAAAUAAUUUUAUUUCCAUAUUUGGGGUGAAAUUGAUUUAUUUGGAAAAGAACAUUGUCUGUUCCCCAGUUUUCUCCUUUUUCAGUGGAAUAGUGUCACUGCAUUAUCCCUUCACUUAUAUAGUGGAUUGGAUCAUGGUUUCUUGCCAGAGGCAUUGAGAUUCUCAACUGGAGAUAAGGCAAACUGUUUGCAUUGAUGGUGCAUUUUCUUUGGGGCCCUGACCCCUGUUUUCUAUUUUAAAAUCAUAUUGCUUUGAGCUUUCAUCCUUUGGCCUUUAAACUGCUUGAUCCAAGGUAGACAUACACGAUACUACUACAUCCUUACUAGCAUCUGCAACUGAAUCAGUUAUCUCUGCCCCAGUCAGACAAGCAGAUCCCUUUAUUAUACUAUAUUAAUACAGUUUUGCGUGCAUGGUUCUUUAUAAGGAAAAGAUGAGUCACUGUUCCAAGAGACCUCAUGUUAUAAAUUAGAUGUGGCACAUGGAAUGACGACAAUGAAAUGAUUAGAGAAUAAUGAUUAGAGUAAUACAUUUUCAUAUAUGAAUUUAUUGAAUUAUUUUGUGACAAAUUCACAUUAAGUUUUCAUCUUGUUUCUCUAAGAUACAUAGCUCAAACCCAAAUGCUAAAGAACUAUGUUCAGACCCAUUCGUGCUACAAUCUCAGUUCUUCUGUAAGUGCACAGUGGUCAGCUCUUCUUCCAAAGAAGCUUCCAUAGCUCUUUGGCAAAAACUUUAUUCUUAGUCACCAAAAGAGAUAUUAAAAUGAAUGGUGACUCAUCUCAGCAGGCACUCAAAUGCAGCCUUAGUCUCAGUCAUAGUGGAAGAAAGUUAACAGUUGCAAUGCUCUAGUAUAGGAAGCAUACAUUUUUAUAGAAGUAUAGAUACACAUAAGGGAACAUUUCUCCUGUUUCAGUCUGUGAAAGAGCAGCCUCCCUCCUCCCUGUGCCAGGGCACACAAAUCUGAUAGAAAAUCUAUUCCAGCACUGAGAAUGCUCCCUGAAUAUACUCCUCUCAGCCACCCGAGUGCCUCUGCACCAUCUAGUGGUUCAAGUCCCUACUGAAAGGAAUCAGGACGAGGAAAGGUUUUUUUUAUUUGUGAGGCAAACAAUUAUUUAUGGGGAAAAAAACGGCAGGUUUUAUUGCCCUACCCAUACACUAUAAGCAUCUUGUACUCCUGUAUGCAUGAACUGCGGAAAGUACUUAUCAUCCUAGAUGUUCCAAGGAAUUUCUCUCUUAGGAAACCUUCACAAGCUGCCUGGACAUGGGCCUGGGCACCUCGCUCUGGAUAUCCCUGUUUGAGCAGGGGUUGGACAGAUGGACCCAGAGGUCCCUGUCAACCUCAGCCAUCCAGUGAUUCUGUGAAAGGACAGAGAGAAAGGAUUUAGGAUAUGAGCAGAGGAAGAGAAGGUGGAAUUAAGGAAUCACUAGCACUCUUGGACAGUAUCUGUCUUGUUCUGCUGUAACAGACAGCUACCUUUCAAAUCUUGCAAGUUGGUAUAGAUGCCUCAAGCUGCCAGCAGUGCAGAUCUGGCAGGUUGUGUGGGAUGCAGAAGCUCUUGAGGAGCAUAUCAGAGGAGCAGCUCCCAGCACACAUCAUGAGGCUGCCUGCUCUUUUUCCUCUGGCAGACCUGGAAGAAGUGCAGCCUGGGAUGAGCAUGACUGAACAGCAAACAAGCAGAGUGUAUUUGUCUCUGUCUGGAACGUUUUGUGUGUAUGAGACAGUCCCACAUGUUUUUUCAGGACCACCCUGUCUUGUUUUGAAUGGUGCUCACAGAAACCUGAGUGUGAUGGUAGUAAAUAAAGAGAAGGCUGUGGCUGUGCUGGGGAAGCUCUCCUAGCUGGCUGUGUGCUUAUUUGUGUUCUUACAUUGCCACCCUCUGACAGCCCGCUGGAUUUAAACACUGUCACUCUAUGGGCAGUUGAAGUUUGAGAAAGGCAUGCUUAUGAAGUACAAGCCUGAACACACCACUGCAGAAAUGCAUCGCUACUAUCACUAUUUGGUUUAAAUUGAAUAUCUUUCGAGUACAUUUAUCUCCUGUAAAUUUCUCAUCUGUUGCUGUAAAGGUUUGCUUAAAGGCUGAUUUGAGGAAGUGUAGCAGAGAGAAAAAUCAGCUCAGUGCAAAACCACAAAUCUCUUAAGAGUAUUCUCCAAGCCCUCAGAAAAAUUAGAUAUGAGAAAUGGUGUUAGUCUGUGUGAGCUGAAGAAACUACACCCUUCUCUAUACCUAAUGAGAGGAGAGAGCAUUAAUGGAACAUUUGUGGAGGCAAGAAUACACUAUAAGUUAUAACUAUAGUUAUAACUAUAUGGCCAAAUUACCCAAGUAUGAGGUUCAGCAAGGGCAAGUGUAGGGUCUUGCGUCUGGAGAGGAAUAAUUACACACAUCAGUAAAGGUUAGACCCGCCGGAAAUGAGCUCUGAGCAGAAGGGCCUGGAAGUCCUGGCGGACAACAGGUUGGCCAUGAGUCAGCAGUGUGCCCUUGCAGCCAAGAAGGCCAGUGGUACCCUGGGGUGCAUCUAGAAGAGUGUGGCUAGCAGGCCCCUCUACACUGCCCUGGUGAGGCCACAUCUGGAGUAUCGCAUCUAGUUCUGGGCUCCUCAGUUCAAAAAAGACAGGAACUUCUAGACAGAGUCCAGCAAAGAGCCAUAAUGAUGACUAAGGGCCUAGAGCAUCUCUCCUGUGAGAAAAGGCUACAAAACCUGGGACUGUUCACUCUGGAGAAGACUGAAAGGGGAUUUCAUGACUAUUUAUGAAUAUCUAAAGUGUGGGAGUCAAGCUGAUGGGGGCAAUAGAACAAGAGCAAAAACUGGAACACAGAAAGUUCAUACAAAUACAAGGAAGAACUUCACUCUGAGUGAUAGAGCACUGAAACAAACUGCCCAGAGAGGCUGUGGAGUUUCCUUCUUAGGAGAUAUUAACAGGCUAUCUGGAUGCCUUCCUGUUCAACCUUCUGUGGGGAAUCUGCUUUAGCAGAGGGGCUGGACUCGAUCUCCAGAGGUCCCUUCCAACCCCUACAAUUCUGUGAAUCUGUGAAGUACACUGAAUUCAGAUGCUGUGAAUACCAGUCCUCACACAAGAGCAACACCUACUGCUGCACCGUGUUGAAACUUGCUCUUUCCCAAGUACUGAACGAUAUAUUCAGUCUUGCUGACCUACUUUUCUAUCAAGAGAUUGCCAAUGAAAUUCUAACAUUUGUAGUUGUGUGAAUGUCAGAUAUACAAAACUGAAAGGGAAGAAAGUGCGGGAUAUAAAGUAAACACUUGUAUCUUUUCAUACAAAAUGUAAAAACUAAUUUUAUGUAAUAAAUGAUUUCAUUCAGAAUUGCUCACAUCUGAGAAAGCAGUGCAUUAAGAAAAAAAUGGUAAGCAAAGACUAUGCAUAUGUUUUUGCCAUAGGAGGGAUGACGUGUUCUUUUCAUGAAGCAUUUCAGUUCCGUUCCAUUCCAGCUGUGUAUGGCAUUGUACUUAAUACUUUUUUAAGAGCAUCUUAUCAAUUGAAGAGAGAUGUUGACAAGACUGAAAAGAGCAUACUGAAAACAGUUAAGAGGACAGAGAGUGACAUAGAAAAAGAAGCUGAAUAAACUGGAUCUUUUUAGCCUAGAGAAGACAAGGAUGGUUUCUAAUUUCAGUUCUCAGUUAACUAUUGGAGGGUUACAGACUAGCCAUAGCCAGAUUCUUCAUGUGGAUGCCCAUUGAAAGAACAGGAGGCAACAGCCACAAGUUUCAGCAAUGGAAAUUUGUACUAUUUAUAAAGAAAACGUCUUCAACAUGAGAGUGGUUAAGCUCUAGAGCAGAUCACCUUGAAAAACUGAAAUUUCCUUUACUGAAGAUUUUCAGAUUCGGUGGGACAAGGUCCCCAAGACAUACUUUGGGAAUAGAUUAUCACACACUGCUGGAGAAAGAGGAGGAAUUUAAAAUCCUUUUAUCCUCUGGCUGCCACAGUGCAGAAUUCCUGAAGAAAAAAUCCCAGCCUUCCAAAAAUGACCCACUGUGAAUAAAGAGUGUUGGUGAUAAGAGAGAAAGCUCCUUGCUCUUUUGUGUUGUCAGAUUGUUUAACAUAAAACAGAGUUUAAAGAGUGGAAGGUCUUCCAGACUAGAAUUGAGAUAUUACUGCCUAUCAGCUUGGUUUGCAGUCACAGAAAAGGCCUGCAGAAAAAAUCCUCUUCAAAAGGCACAUUUUUAAAAAUCUAUUGCUUAUUGAGAUACAGGGAGCUAGGACAUAUGAACUGCUUCAUGUUACAACUUUAACUACCAUCAUAAAGGUGCCACUUUAACUCCGGGUAAAUAAAAUGAUGGAAUUUGGCAUGGUACCAUUGUGAGUUCUCUUAUGAAAACACUCCAACUCAGAAAUUCAUAUUCUCCCAAAUCACUGAUUUUGAUGACAAGUUUUCAUUUGAUUGUUUUUUGUAUUUUUGUUUGCUUGCUUGCUUGGUGGGCUGUUUCAUUUCAGUUGGGUUUGGUGGGGUUUUUCAGACUGUUCAUUUUCUGUUUUGGUUUGUUCCUCUUCUAUGACUACUAUAUAUAUGGAAAGAACACCUGAAGCUUCAAAAAAUACCACAUUCCUAGCCUGAGUUUUUGUGAAAUCUGACCUUUACAAAAGCUGAGAAGACAGAAGAAGAGGUGAGACAAGAAGAGAUUUGUCUUCUGUUCUUCUAGAAAGAGUCACGAAUGAAGGUGUGAAAAUGAGCCUGGGAAAAAAAGGGGGAUAUGAGAAAGGAAGUUGAGCCUUUUUACACCUGGAAGCAGUGAAGCACAGGAAAGCAAAGGGACUUCCCCGGAAAAUGCAGCGGCAAUAUCAGCAGCCAAAGCUGACUCCCACUUCUGAGUCAAGUUGUGAAUGAUCAAUUACAGAGCUUUUGGCUCAAUUAUGCCAUCAGAUAAUAAGUAUAUCUGCAGGUCUCUCUAGCUAACUUUUACACGAGAGAUGCUUAAAUUGAUACUCUUGUGCAAGUUAACAUACACUGAAAUUUCUGCCAUUUGGAAGAACAUCAAUCAAAACAAGAUGAUCCAUGGAGAAAGCAAGCAGCAAUGAAAGUCCUUCAAACCUGUGAAUACAAAUAUUUUGGCUGGAUUAUCAUGUCAGUCUCUUCUGGUUUGGAAAUACUUGAUUGUGGGAAACUGAAUCACUCUAUUUUUGGAGCUGAAGAGAAGACCAUGGGUGCUACACAGCACAAUCAGCAACAUCUAAGCAGUGAACGCACUUACCUGGUUUAUCAACAGCAGCAGCAAUCAGAACAUUGUUUCCCACUUCAGUCACCUCUCUGAGCAUCUGAACACAGUCAUUUCAUUUGUUCUCCUGUUUGUCUCCGAUUGCCAUCAUCUACAUUGACUGACUUUUCCAGAAACUCUUGCCAUUAUUGAAAGUGAACUCACCACUUCCCUGAGGCAUAUGACUGAAUAACCUGAAGAUCUGUGCAUCAAAGUGGAAUUAAAGAAGGGAAAGAGUCAUAUUAAAAAUAGUGCAUGGGGUAGGGAUAAAAUAAUUUUUCUCCUUCUCUUACAGUGAUGGAUACAAAUGUAUUUUUUGCCUUCACCAGAGGUGAAACCAGUGCUCAUGUGAAUUGAAUUAUAGUGAACAAUUCUAUCACAGAGAUGAACAUUUUUGUUUUCUGCCUCUGUGUUUCUCAUCUUAUAGGUUAUUGAUGUAAAAAGUAUGUCUAAAUCAGGUUCUUCAACUUUUACUGAAGAACGACACCAUUCUGUGAGCUCCAGAAAGUCUGCAAGUACAGGAAAUGUCAGGUCAUCUUGUUAUUAAGACUAUAAACAAAAAUCAGUAUGUCUGAAAGUAGCUUAAAAAUAGAAAAAGAGUUCUAUAUAAUUACAAACUUUAAAGCUGACAAAACAUUUUUUUUUUCAUUUUAAUUAACCUCUCUCCUGCCCUGGCUUCUGAAAAUAUCACAUCUGAGGCCUCAGUUGUCUGUCUAAAUAGAAGCAAAUUAUACUUACAUCUUACAAUUUUAUGUUAUGGAGGUCACUUUCUAUGAAAAAAUACUGAAACACUGUACAACAUUACAAAAUGUUUUGCUGGCAAGGAAUAUCUUGCGCACAGUAUUUUUGUGGAAAAUAGCUUGAAGCUUGAGGUAACCAAAAUAUUCUCUGAUAAAAAUCCUAACAAUUA